UACGUAGGGUGCGAGCGUUAAUCGGAAUUACUGGGCGUAAAGGGUGCGCAGGCGGCUAUAUAAGUUAGAUGUGAAAUCCCUAAGCUUAACUUAGGAAUGGCAUUUGAUACUGUAUAGCUAGAGUUUAUCAGAGGGAGGUAGAAUUCCAAGUGUAGCAGUGAAAAUGCGUAGAUAUUUGGAGGAAUACCGGUGGCGAAGGCGGCCUUCUGGGAUAAAACUGACGCUCAGGCACGAAAGCGUGGGUAGCAAACAGG
rnacentral:rRNA from 1 species